UUUAAAUUCAGGACUCUUUCGCUAUAUGGGGCCUGCCGGUUUCGGCUGGCUAUGGCGAUAAAUUGCGGUGUGCAAUAGGCACAGCGGACCCGGGGGCAGUACCCGGCGGCUCCACCACAAAGCGCUGAGAGAUCAGCGUGUUAUGACGGGGCCGAACCAGGAUCGACGUGUGUUGAAAAGCACUGUUUUCGCCCGGGCUGAGUACCCCGUAAAACUGUUCAAAACACACAAGUGCCAACGAUAACGAAGCACUCGCUCUCGCUGCGUAAUCUGACGUCGUAACGGACUGAUCUUACAAAGCUAAAGCGCGGUUGGACCCACCGGGCAACAGAAG
rnacentral:tmRNA from 1 species